GCGGUUAACGAACCUGACUAGGAUCCAUGAGGACAUGAGUUCAAUCCCCGGCCUCACUCAGUGGGUUAAGGAUCCAGCACUGCUGUGAGCUGUGGCGUAGAUUGAAGGUGUGGCUUGGAUCUGAUGUUGCUGUGGCUGUGGCAUAAGCUGGCAGCUGUAGCUCCGAUUUGACUCCUAGCCAGGGAACCUCCAUAUGCUGUACCUGUGGCCAUAAAAAGCAGAUAAAGUAAAGUAAAAUAAAAUCCAUUCUUUUUUUUUUUUUUUUUUUUUUUUUUUUGUCUUUUUGCCUUUUUUUUGAGCCGCUCCCGCAGCAUAUGGAGGUUCCCAGGCUAGGGGUCCAAUCAGAGCUGUAGCCGCUGGCCUACACCAGAGCCACAGCAAUGCAGGAUCCGAGAUGCGUCUGCGACCCACACCACAGCUCAUGGCAACGCUGGAUCCUUAACCCACUGAGCAAGGGCAGGGAUCGAACCCACAACCUCAUGGUUCCUAGUCAGAUUCGUUAACCACUGCGCCACGACAGGAACUCCAAAUCCAUUCUUAUAGAUAACUGCUAACUGUAGAACAAAACUAAAAUCAGAUACCAUAAAGGCAAUAAAAUGCAAAUUCAUGAUAUUACAUGAAUGUGACAGGUAAGUGGAUGAUAUUGUCUGGCAGAAACUCAAUUGCCAGUUUGGGGUUGAUAGCAGCAAAGUGUUAGCUCAGUGCUGGUCCUAUAUUAAGACUUUUUCUCUGUUGUGAUUUUGAAAAUAUAGCUCCCCCCAAACAUCAGUUUGAACACGACCCAGAGGUAUUAACAUACCCCAGCUUUGACUGUAGUUUAGGAGAAGGAGACCUUUCACUUAGCCACAAACUCUGCAAGUGAGCAAUGCCCAUGUCACUUGAUAACUCUGUAAAGUUUUCUCUUUCAUUUGAAGAUAUGUGUCUGCAUUCAGUGGGCAACUAAUCCAAUUAUUGUUACACUCCAGAACAGAGCCAUUCUUCAAGGCAUACUGACUACUAAAAUUAUUGUUAAUUGAAUGGUUGAAAAUUGAGAUUUUUCAAAGACUGAGACCACAGGGCACAUCCACUGGAAAUGUAAACAUGGACGUUAUGGGGCAAGUUCCUUCUUAGUCUGACAUGUCUAUGUUUGGUGUGUUCUGAGAUGAUUCAAUUCGCUCACAUUUCUGGGUUCAGCCUGAUGCAAAAAAAUCUCUCUCAGGGAUGUAGCACACCAGGAAGUCAAUUGAAUUUUACUUGGUAUAAACUCAGUAAUAAACACAAAUCAAAGGAUAAACACAGGAUUCUGAUGACCAGAGCACAACUGAAGGGUGGUCCCCUAGACGAUUCAGAAUCUGUUUCUAGUAACUGAUACAGAUUAUCAUCACCAUGGAAACCAAAAUUUUCAUUUUUUUUUUUUUGGUCUUUUUUUCUUUUUGCCUUUUCUAGGGCCGCUCCCUUGGCAAAUGGAGGUUCCCGGGCCAGGGGUGUAAUCAGAGCUGUAGCCGCUGGCAGACAUGUGGGAUCCGAGCCGUUUCUUCGACCCACGCCACAGCUCCCGGCAACGACGGAUCCUUAACCCACUGAGCUAGGCCAGGGAUUGAACCUGCAACUUCAUGGUUCCUAGUCAGAUUCAUUAACCACUGAGCCACAACAGGAACUUCCCCCAAAUCUUCAUUUUCAUACGGAAUGUACAGGUCCUUGAGAAAUUGUCCAACUCUGAGAAAGGGGAGUUCAGCAGGAAAAGUUAAACUCUGUCAAGAACUGGCUCUGGAAGUUUGGGUCAGUGUUCACAUCUUUGGGGAUCUGUUUCCUUGUCUCUGAAAGCAUCCUACAAUCCCCCUUCCUUCACGAGCUCACUCUGAAAGGGAACGAGGCGUGUAUGAGAAGGCAUUUAACCCUCACAAGGCUAACAGAUGGAAAACACAAUCACAGUGGCAGUGAAACUGACAGCACUAAUGGCCUGAACCUAGCCAGAACACAGAUUGGGACUUGAACCCACGUGCCAGGACUUAAGCCCAGCCAAAAUCCCCCAGAUUGGGACUCGAACCCAGCCUAAAGCCAGAUUGGGACUUAAACCCACAGUUUUAAAUCCGAGUUACUCACCCUGUGUCUGGACUCACUAAGGUUCAGGUUCUUUACGCCUCCGUGCAGGAGGAAUUCAGCAAGAGACAAGGUGAGAGGCAAGAAACAGAUUUAAUAGGAUAGGACGCUUAAUAAGAGAUGCAAGCGGGCAGGAAGGAAGCUCUGCCCUGAGGCUCCGGUGGGCCAGUCUUAUCAUCCUAGGGGCACGGGGGCUGGAAAGCAAGUAAGGGAGGUGAUGAUUGGCUAGCUUUCUGAGAGUCUAAGAGCAGUAAGGGCCCAUUCCUUGCUCUCUGCUGCCCUCUUCAGUAGAGAAGUUGGCCUUGCAUCGAAUGGGGUCUCUGCAGCGAGUCCGGAACUACCGUGUAGGCCCAACCAAGUCUUAGGGCCUUCUGGGCUUCUCAGCUCAACAGUCCAGCCCCAACCCCUUUUCGGAAUCCCACAGCUCCAGCCUGGCCCUGAUUCACUUCAGGCUGCAAGUCCGUAGGCCUUGUAUAAACCUUUCUGUUCAUUUUUCAGUCUGCAUGAUUCUUUCUUCCCUGCUCUUGUUGUUACGGCUUGGUUAAGAUGAUUUUAGGGCCCUGAGACCCCAUAAGGAAUUCUCCUGUCUAUUGAUUUCUGAUUAUUCAUUAGCCACCGAGGUAAGAAAGACAUGCACUGUUGUUCUAAUUCCAUUUUAAUGUCGAAAGUCUAUUUGCAUGUCUAAUUCUACUUUUAAUGACUCAUGUUUGCAUUAGUCUUUGAACACCCUUGAGGCUGUGCUACCAAAUAAGCAGUAUCUUUGUUUGCCACUCACAGCCACAUUUUCCUUUAGACCAGAGAAGCAAUUUCCAAAUGAGCCACUUGGGACUCACAGAGGGAUCCAGGGGGUUCAGGGAAGAAAAUAGUAGAACUUUUAUUUUUAUAUAGUAUGUUUAAUAUAAUUCUUCUUAAAUAACAACCUCCAACAAUGUUUUAUAAUAUAUAUAAUAUACUAGUGGACUAGUAAAGGUGUAGCAUUUAUAAAUACUUAUAUAUUGUGAAGGAAUGCUAAUUUUAUUUGAUUUGUUUUGCUACAGAAGGGAUAUAUAAUGAUGAAAGUUGGAGAGUGCUGUUCUAGUUGAGUAUUUAUCAUCCUGGUUAUGUUUCAGAAUCACUGUGGGAGCUUUUUUUAAAAGUAUAUUAUGGAGUUCCCAUUGUGGCUCAGUGGGUUAAGAACCCAACACAGUGUCCAUGAGGAUGCAGGUUAGAUCCUUAGCCUCCCUCUGUAGGUUAAGGAUCUGGCAGUGCUCAGGUGUUGCUGUGGCUGUGGCAUAGGCCAGCACCUGCACCUCCAGUUAGACCCCUAGCCCAGGGGCUUCCGUAUAACGCAAGUGAAGGUGUAAAAAGAAAAAAAAAAAAAAAGUAUCUUAUGCCCUAACCACAUCCCAGACUCAGUAAACCACACUUUUCAGGAAUAAAGUGAGGGAUAUGUGAAUUUUUAAAAAGCAUCCCGUGGCGAUUGUGACACAAACACCUUUGCUACAAAUUACAUAGUUCUCAAGACUGUCAGCUCAUGAGGGCAGGUUACAUCCGUCUCAUUCAUCAUUGUAUCUGUAGAGCCUCGCAUACUGCCUGACACAGAUGUUCCAGAACUAUUUGCUGAAGGAAGGAAUAACGAACAAAUGAACCACAAUCCAGAGAUGGCCCCUGCCAACUCCCCCAGCCUCUGUUUUAUCCUUUGUGUUUCCAUUUGACUGUUUUGCACAGUUGAGAACCAAUCACAUGUAAAACGGAGCAGCUUAUUUGAUCACUUUUAGUAAACAGAUGUUUACGCCUGAAAGUGACUGAAGUGUAGCAUCGUUUAUCAUUUAGCAUCUCCUAUUACAAAUCAGACUACACAGGACAUCUUUCUACAUAAAGCUUUCUUCUAUAUAUCGAGUCAUAGGCACAGGAUAGAGCCCCAGAGGGGGAUUUCUAAAGAGUAAGACCAUUUUAAAGGCUGCUGCGGAAAGGACAAAUUAACACUGACCCCAGAAGCAGGACAUUCUGGUUUAAGGAACCAGAACUUUCACGGUAUUCAUGAUCCAGCAGAGAGAGGAUCUUCAGGAGAAACAGAGAAAGCGAGCUUGUGCCCCUCUGCCACAGCGCUCGCCUCAUGCUGGAGAGCAGGCGAGUCGGACUGCCACCAGGAAUCGAAGGGACUUGUUGGAAAUGUUGUUUUUUCUUCUAAAGAAGAGCGAAGUGGCAUUCCCGUCAUGGUGCAGUGGAAACAAAUCCGACUAGGAACCAUGAGGUCGUGGGUUUGAUCCCUGGCCUCGCUCAGUGGGUUAAGGAUCAGGUGUUGCCAUGAGAAAAGGUGUAGGUUGCAGACGUGGCUUGGAUCUGGCAUUGCUGUGGCUGUAGUGUAGGCCAGCAGAUGUAGCUUUGAUUAGACCCCUCGCCUGGCAAUCUCCAUAUGCACAUAUGCAGCAGGGGUGGCCCCAAAAAAAGGCAAAAAAAAAAAAAAAAAAA
rnacentral:lncRNA from 1 species